rnacentral:rRNA from 1 species
ACUUGUGGCCAUACGCCUGUUCAGGCUCGGGCCUGGUUCGAACUGGGAUGGGAGACCGUCUGGGAAUACCAGGUGCCAUAAACU